CACCGCGGUUAUACGAGAGGCCCAAGUUGACAGACAUCGGCGUAAAGAGUGGUUAAGUUAAAACUGUACUAAAGCCGAACAUCCUCCAGGCUGUUAUACGCAUCCGAAGAUAAGAAGUUCAACCACGAAAGUAGCUUUAUUUAGUCUGAACCCACGAAAGCUACGGCA
rnacentral:rRNA from 1 species